GACGAACGCUGGCGGCGUGCCUAAUACAUGCAAGUAGAACGCUGAAGGAGGAGCUUGCUUCUCUGGAUGAGUUGCGAACGGGUGAGUAACGCGUAGGUAACCUGCCUGGUAGCGGGGGGUAACUAUUGGAAACGAUAGCUAAUACCGCAUAAGAGUAGAUGUCGCAUGACAUUUGCUUAAAAGGUGGAAUUGCAUCACUACCAGAUGGACCUGCGUUGUAUUAGCUAGUUGGUGAGGUAACGGCUCACCAAGGCAACGAUACAUAGCCGACCUGAGAGGGUGAUCGGCCACACUGGGACUGAGACACGGCCCAGACUCCUACGGGAGGCAGCAGUAGGGAAUCUUCGGCAAGAGACGGAAGUCUGACCGAGCAACGCCGCGUGAGUGAAGAAGGUUUUCGGAUCGUAAAGCUCUGUUGUAAGAGAAGAACGAGUGUGAGAGUGGAAAGUUCACACUGUGACGGUAUCUUACCAGAAAGGGACGGCUAACUACGUG
rnacentral:rRNA from 1 species